AAACGGUAAAUUCCUGACUGCAGCGUGAGCCCUGGGACGCAGUCGAAGCAGAGCAAAGUCUCCCCCGCCAGCCCAGGGCGAGAGUCAGGGACGCGGCGUCGGGCGAGCUGCGCGGGCCCCGGGGGAGGCGCGACCCCGGAGGCACCUGUCCGGAUCCCUCCCCGCCUUGCUCAGAUCUCUGGUUCGCGGAGCUCCGAGGCGCGCUCGGCCCGAACCGCGCGACCCCCAAGUCGCCGCGCCCAGGACCCCAGCGCGCCCCCUGCCGCCGGUGCAGGGUGGCGCUCGAUGGCACCGGCCCUCACCUGCCCAGGGACGGCUGGGACCGGCCCCGCGGCCGCUCGCCACCCCUCUGUCCCCAACGAUACCUGCGCCCCCGAUAGCCCGCACCUGAGUAUGGGGCCUGACCGGGCCGGGUCGGGGUCGGGCCGGGGUGGGAGCCGGCGCGGACAGCGAACUGAGCUCGGCGUGGUCGGGCGGCGGCUGCUCCGGACUCUGGCCAAGGCAGCAACUCAGUAACCGAACAAAAGGCGAAGAGACCUGACAGCCAAGCCACGCCCCUCGCCACCUCGAAGCUCCGCCCCUGGGGGAGACGCCCACCCUCUGGUGCGAGCUCACUGGCUAUCUCGCCUGACUGUCCCGUGGAGGGGCGGAGCCUCGCCUCCAGUCCUCUUCCACGGCCGCCUCUGUUUAUCCGCUUGCCAUUGGCCCCGGGGACUGCCAGUCGGCUCUAGGGAUGGACUCUAACUUGAGGUCUCAUCCUAACAUUGCAUCUAUUGGCAGAUAGAAAGUUACUUCCUCCUGAUUGGACAAGGCUCUGUCAGUAAGACUAAGGAAAAAACCAAUGGAAGGGAUGGGGUGUGUCUUGCCCCACCCUUGCUCUGAGCAGCUCUGAAAAAUAGUUAGGAUGAGAAAACGACCCUCAUUGUAAAGAUGAAGAAACCGAAGUUCAGAGAAGUCACAAAACUACAAAGUGGCACACCCCAAGCUAGAACCUCCUUCCUCUCAUUUGAAGGACCAUCAAACCAGCUGUUCCCCUCAUGGAAGAGGAGCAUAGACAUAAAAUGUCAAGGCAAUGGGGAAGGGGCAGAGAAAAGGCACAAACACUUGGAGGAGAGACAGAACAAUUAAUUGGCACAAAAAUACAGUAUUGGUGUCAGGAGGCUUUGGUGGGCUUGGAAACAUCAAGCAGCAGAUCUGAAGGAAAUCCAGCCCUGGCAUGAAAGAAACGGGGCAGGCCAGGCGCAGUGGCUCACUCCUGUAAUCUCAGCAUUUUGGGAGGCAAAGGCGGGUGGAUCACCUGAGGUCGGGAGUUCAACACCAGCCUGGCCAAUAUGGUGAAGCCCCAUCUCUACAAAAAAUACAAAAAGUUAGCCGAGCGUGGUGGCGGGCAACUAUAAUCCCAGCUGCCUGGGAGACUGAGGCAGGAGAAUUGCUUGAACCUGGGAGGCGGAGGUUGCAGUGAGCCGAGACCAUGUCACUGCACUCCAGCCUGGGCAUGACAGAGCGAGACUCCAUCUCAAACAAAAAAAAAAAAAAGAAAAGAAAAAAAUAAACCGGGCAGCACACCCCUCUGCGAUAGGAGAGCCUGGGGUAGAGAUCAGAGAGAACUUCUCGGCCAGGCGUGGUGGCUCAUGCCUGUAAUCCCAGCAAUUUGGGAGGCCAAGGUGGGCAGAUCACUUGAGGUCAGGAGUUCGAGACCAGCCUGGCCGACAUGGUGAAACCCCAUCUCUACUGAAAAUACAGAAAUUAGCCAGGCAUGGCAGCGGGCACCUGUAAUGCCAGCUACUCGGGAGGCUGAGGCAGGAGAAUGGCGUGAACCCGGGAGGCAGAGGUUGCAGUGAGCUGAGAUCAUGCCAUUGCACUCCAGCCUGGGUGACAGAGUGAGACUCUGUCUCAAAAAAAUAAAAAGGACUUCUCACAGGCAGCUUAAGAAGACAAGGGCACUUCCUUUCUGUGGUUGAUGACAUGAAUGCUGCUCGUGGCUGUAUGGUGUGCCAAGGGCCCUACAAACAUUCCUUCAUUCAACACUUGAGUAUUCAUUGUCAACUGUAUGUUAGGCACUGGUGAACACA
rnacentral:lncRNA from 1 species